UAAUACGUAGGUGGCAAGCGUUGUCCGGAAUUAUUGGGCGUAAAGCGCGCGCAGGUGGCUAUGUAAGUCUGAUGUUAAAGCCCGAGGCUCAACCUCGGUUCGCAUUGGAAACUGUGUAGCUUGAGUGCAGGAGAGGAAAGUGGUAUUCCACGUGUAGCGGUGAAAUGCGUAGAGAUGUGGAGGAACACCAGUGGCGAAGGCGACUUUCUGGCCUGUAACUGACACUGAGGCGCGAAAGCGUGGGGAGCAAACAGGAUUAGAUACCCUGGUAGUCCACGCCGUAAACGAUGAGUGCUAGGUGUUAGGGGUUUCAAUACCCUUAGUGCCGCAGCUAACGCAAUAAGCACUCCGCCUGGGGAGUACGCUCGCAAGAGUG
rnacentral:rRNA from 1 species